AUUGAACGCUGGCGGCAGGCCUAGCACAUGCAAGUCGAGCGGAUGAGAGGAGCUUGCUUCUCGAUUCAGCGGCGGACGGGUGAGUAAUGCCUAGGAAUCUGCCUGGUAGUGGGGGACAACGUUUCGAAAGGAACGCUAAUACCGCAUACGUCCUACGGGAGAAAGCAGGGGACCUUCGGGCCUUGCGCUAUCAGAUGAGCCUAGGUCGGAUUAGCUAGUUGGUGAGGUAAUGGCUCACCAAGGCGACGAUCCGUAACUGGUCUGAGAGGAUGAUCAGUCACACUGGAACUGAGACACGGUCCAGACUCCUACGGGAGGCAGCAGUGGGGAAUAUUGGACAAUGGGCGAAAGCCUGAUCCAGCCAUGCCGCGUGUGUGAAGAAGGUCUUCGGAUUGUAAAGCACUUUAAGUUGGGAGGAAGGGUUGUAGAUUAAUACUCUGCAAUUUUGACGUUACCGACAGAAUAAGCACCGGCUAACUCUGUGCCAGCCGCCGCGGAAUAC
rnacentral:rRNA from 1 species